UCCCCGAUAGCUCAGCAGGCAGAGCGGCGUACUGUUAAUGCGCAUGUCCCUGGUUCGAAUCCAGGUCGAGGAGCCA
rnacentral:tRNA from 1 species